CCGUGCCUCGCAUGCUGUUGUCAGAGCAAAACACUUUUGCUGCCUAAAGUCAGAUCUACGUCUUUUGCAAUAAUAAUAAUUAAAUAAAGAGGAUAAAUAAUUGCCUUAAAGCCUCCGCCGAAGUGCCAACCACACCUCCGGAGGUCAGAAGGCAGAAACAUGUGAGCUGCUGAGAGAGGGAUGAACCAUCACAAGGCUGCGACAAAGGCUGAAAAGCCUGGGGACCAACAACACACAGAAACGGCUGAUCCAGUUGGGGCUCUAACUGCCGCCAGUGAUUUGAGCUGUAUGAAGCACUGAGAAACAGGCCAAUGUGAGUACAAGACCAAGCAUGCUUUUGGUGCUCCCGUGGAAUAUACCUGAAGUACGAAGUUUCACCCUUCACUUCUGCAGACGUACAUGGAUAUGAUGAUAAACUGCCACUGAGUCCAGAGACUGGAUAGAAAUAAAUCACCAGAUAAAAUACAAUUUUCUUUGUGAAAAUCUUUACGGAAUGUGUUCCUGUCCCAAAACACUACUGGAAUUACAUGCAGUAAUGCUCCCUGAGACCUGGCAGCCCUUGUAAGUGAGCAUAUGGUCUGCUCAGCUCUUGCAGUACCAUUGCACGAAAUGGAUUCCCUUUCUCUGCUCACAAGCUGCGCUGUUGGAGCACACAGUUUGCAGGAAAGGCUUGGCAUUUGCCAGCACGCACGCACGCACAUUGCUUGGGGAUGACAGGAAAACAUGAUUACAACUUGCAAAUAAUACAAAGGAAAAAAAAAAAAGUGAGGGGAGCUACCACGCAGCAGCAGUAGUAUGGUUCUUGAUGAUAAAGGUCUGACCUUAAAAUGAGGUCACGAAGAAGACAGCAAGAAUGGUUACUGGAGGGAGCUCCUGGCCUUCAACCCUUCCAACCCUUCUAUUUGAGUAGCCAGUGCAGUAUAUCCAUGAUGGUGAGAGAACAGAGCCUUCCAGCUAAGGACUUUUCAACACAUUAACUCUACCAGUGCUGGAUGUUGCAUCACUAUGUAGGCUGCCUGUGUCUGUUUAAUAACCUCAGUACAAACUUGCAGAAGCUGGAUAUCUGCAGCUUCCUGUAACUUCACAGUCAUAUUUUAGUGCCCACUGCAUCUGAAAAUCCAACUGUUCUUGGGUAUUUACAUGAAGAUCUGGGGACGACUGUGACCACUCAUACCACUUGGAGUAGUUCAGACUUCAGCUUUCUUGCCUGCAGGAGAAGCACGGGCUGAUUUGCUGUAAUGCAACUGCCCUCAUUGACGUACUUCAAGCCCUGAUGUACUGGGACCACCAUCUAUGGCAAGUUUUAUUGCCCAGUUCCUGCUCACAACCAGGGAACAGCUGUAAGUCGACAGAGCAAAUGAACAACAACUAGAAGUGCAAUCUUAACCUCUGGUUGUGGUAUGACAAACUAUGCAGGCGCUGGGACUACCAUGCCAUCCUAUUCUACUCUUUCAGGCUCCAAUCAGAAGUUGCAUUGGGAAGAAGCAGCUUCCAUGGAAAGACAUGAAUGAACAUGAAUAUUAUUCCAGGAUGAGGCAGAGGGCACAAACACGCUCGGCAGAUUUGUUUCAGUGAAGAUAGCACCGAUCAGUGAUUAGCACUGUAGGAUAAUACAUGCUGCGGUGUUAGUGGAAGUCCAAAUGGCCCAAGCUGCAGUGCAGAGCAUCUGUUAUCAGUGAGACAAUGGUGCGUGAAAGGCUGUUGUAAUUUCUGGACUCAUGAGCCUAUCUGGAAGCACUUCCCAACGCAGAGGGGAGUCAGAGAACACUGGAUGUGCAAAAAGAUCUCAUCUCCCCACAGAUUUACCAGGUCAGCUCAGUCCAGGCCAAAGGAGCAGGGACUAGGUCCUCAGUUCUAUUUUAAGUUCAUUGCUCUAUUGAUUACGAACAGGUAUUUAUAGCAGAUCAGCAUCUUGAACCAAGACUGGCCUAUCAGCUAAAGCUGUAUGAACUAAAUCAUAUGUUCCCCAACUACAGAUAAAACCAAUAGCCAAUUUUUGCCUAAUCAUCCCUUCUGCCAAAGAAAAGAGAAACUCUUUGAAGUAUGAUCCCUUGGAGGCUGUAGCUAAUACAUAUCCGAGUCGUAAUGUGGAUUUGCACCUUUCCCAUUAAAUACAGCUGCUUUGUGUCCAGAAUAUUGCUUCCAGUACUAAUGCUCACUUUUAUCUUUACAAAUUCUACAUUAGCUGCAAGUGUGAAAUGCCAACUGAUUCUCAGGUCUCUUGCUGUCUGUAAGAUUAAAAUCUUGAUACGUGACUCUGCUACUGUCCACAAAACCCAACAUAAGGGCAUCUCUGCUGCUGACUCUCUUCUGAUCUCCUGCUAUGAAUCUAUGCGGUUUUGGGCUUUAUGAAUCAAGGGCUCAGGUCCCAAGACUAACAUUUUUACUGCAGUCUUUUGGAUAGUUAGUUCUUCAAGGCAAAAAUCAUUCUUGUUCCAUGCUUGACUUUGUAUAGUAUAAUGUAACAGAGUAAUGCAAAAUGCUCAAGCUUGGAGGAGACUUCCCGGCACCAAGACAAUACAAUAAAUACAUUACUGGACAAUGUUUGGAUAUAAUUUUAUAACAUAAAAACGUGUGUCACAUGACUUCUGCUAAGUGAACUGAAAUUAUUUGCUCUAUAUGCAAAAUAUUUGCUGUUCAACAGGUAGAUUUUGCCAGUCUUCAUAUGUGGGUACCUGUAUAGUUUAUAUUAAAAAGGAAAAAAAGAUGUGCUUCUCAAUGCUACAUCAUACAAGAGAAGUCAGGACACCAAAAAGUAAAAAAAAGAGUAUAAUAUGUUCAGCAGCUUCAGAAAGUUGCUUAUGUCCAAUGUCUCACUGCUUGGACUGUGCAGACAUUCAUAGUGGAAAAAGCUGUCUAAUAAGAGCUCCUGUAGAGGCAGUUCUCCUGGAGCCUGCCUUUCACAAAGUCAUCCAGAUUUGUUUUUUGGGACCUUCAAAAGAAGAGUUCAAAUACUUCUACUUCCUCCUGUUAAUAUAUUUUUUCCCACCCCCAAAAAGUCUUCUGAUUGUAAUGUGUUCGCACUUGAUACCUAGACACUGGUUUCUGUUCAGUGACCUUUAGGACAUAGUAUUUUGUGCCUCAUACAUUUUACAUGAUAUAAAACACCGACGUCAGUUUAAUGCAGAUGCUGGCAAAACUGUUUUCAAUUAAUAUGAUUUGAUAAUCCUAUAUAUGCCUAAUAACUUCUGGAUUUCUGCUAAUCUAAAUGUCCCUCAAUAUCCUGGAAUAAAGACUCCCACAGGUAAUCGUAUAUGCUUUUUUUUUUUUUAAGCUGUCUUCAUCUACUGUAAAUACUUGGUCAUUUAAUGUCAUCGUGAUCUGGGUUAUUCUGGAUUUGUAGGCCAAUUUAAACAAAUGCAUCCAAAUUUCAUUCACCACUAUGCAUUAUAGUGUUCCUCCCUUAAUUGACUCUAUUUCUAAAAUCCUUUUUGGGAUAGUGGGACCUUAACACCCAAAAUGAGAAUACAGGGACUUGGUCAUCAGCUAUACGUUUGGUUAAAUGGAAUUUAGACCUACUAUCCUCAUAGUGAUUUGAUUUGAAGCAAUUAGUUUAAAAACAAGUGAUUUCAAAAAUCAAUUUCAUACUGAGCAAGUCAUGAGCAUAAUGCAUAGGUCAGAGCGUUUUUCAAGAACAUAUGAGAUCCCAGGCCUGAAACUAUGCUGCUUGAAAUGUGUAUUUCC